UAGUUGCAAACUAAUAUUGGGCCAAACUAACCUCUCUCUACAUUUAGAGCUUCCGAUCAGUUUUCGCGUCCGGUGACCGGCAGCGGCUUCGUUGUCGGUCACCACAACCUUUUGUUUUUUAUGUAUAUACUCGAUCUUCUGGUCGACUUUUUACUUCCGUUGCGGAUAAUAUAUAUCGCUAGGCGAAUUUUGUUGUGUUCUUCAAUCUUAAAUCGGGUGAAUCUUCAAGGUUUCCAUGGUGUUUCCGAUUUCAGAUUGAGUAAAUAAAGGUUCCGAUUUUAUUCGGAGAGUUUGUGUUUAUGCUUCUCUUUCGUAAGCAUCAUUGAGAUUCCCCUUGUAAUAGCCCAUUGGGUCUUUCCUUUAAUGGAAAAUGUUGACAGAAAAAAAAAAAACUAAUAUUGGGCCAGUGGAAAAGGCCGGGGGUCGGGCAAGGUCCAAACUCAAAACUACAAGCCGAUAAAAAAGACGCGGACCAAUAUAUUCGCCUGUCUGAGACAGAAGGAAAGAGAGGACGAACCCUAAUCCCAAUCAUGCCACCGAAUCUGAGAACCCUAGUUGCCAAGUGCCGUGGAGGGAUGGACUCUCUCCUCAGAUUCUCUUCAAGCACUGCUUCGAACGCUCCUGAGAUUAAGACUUUGCUGUUGGCGGAGAUUACGAACCCUAAUCUGUUCACAUGUGCAGGGCUUGGAUAUGGCUGUUACACCACUUGGCAACUCAUUCAACUCUAUGAAUAUCGCCGCACGCUGUGGAGAAAUAUGGUAGAGGAAGUCCUGGAUGCUUGGUCUUCGCAAACCAAAAACUAAAAAUACUAAUUUCUCUAGUUUCAUGUUAAUCUCUGUAGUGAUGAUGCUCUUCUUGCUUUUGAAAAAUUAAAAAGAAGGUUAAAUUAAUGUAUGGUUUGCAAUUGCUUA